UUACUAUAUUACUAUUAUUAUUAUUACUUUGCAAGAAAAACAACACAAUAAGCCCUCCGGUCACAUUGUUACCUUUGACCUUUUGCCCGUGACGCACGACGCACUUGCCUCUCGCGCGGUGAGAUAAGGCGGCUAACUGCGGAGCUCAAGCUAGCGACGUUCCAGAUUACAAAACAGCUUUUGGUGAACUGAAAAAAAUUAUUUUGGGUGAAAACACUGUAGUCGGCUUGCUACUUGUCAGAUAACGGAAAACGUUAAAUGUUGUAUAGUUUCUCCUUCAGCACGGAGUCGCAGUUUAAGCAGAAAUGAAAUAUAACAAGACAGGCGUCUUAGAGAAUAUAAGUCUCUAAGUCCGCCUUUCUCUGAAUAAACUGAGCGGGAGGAGACAGACAGUUCAAAGACGCCACGUAAAGAGAGACGUCAGAAACAAAAAAGAAAGGCAGUGGAUUGUUGACCAACUGGGUCAACUGUGCCAAUCAUUCACAGUGAGUUAAAAGGCAAGAGACUGAAAUAAAUAAGACUUCACUCAACACAGAGAAGAUGAGACAAUGAGGAAAAAAGAAAAGAGAAACUGACAAGAAAAAAGAAGAGGAAAGAUUGAAGAAAAUGUACAUAGUUCCACGUUAAAGUUUGAUGCAGCUCUAUUUUUCUGAAUGGACCGUCUUCAUCUCCACUGCAAGUACAGCAACCCAAGCAGAUGUUCUUU